GGGGCCUUAGCUCAGCUGGGAGAGCGCAACACUGGCAGUGUUGAGGUCACCGGUUCGAUCCCGGUAGGCUCCACCA
rnacentral:tRNA from 7 species